rnacentral:rRNA from 1 species
GACAGAGGGGGCAAGCGUUGCUCGGAAUUACUGGGCGUAAAGGGCGCGUAGGCGGAAUGGCAAGUCGGUCGUGAAAUCCUUCGGCUCAACCGAAGAACGUCGAUCGAAACUGCCGUUCUUGAGGAUUGCAGAGGAGACUGGAAUUCCCGGUGUAGCGGUGAAAUGUGUAGAGAUCGGGGGGAACACCGGUGGCGAAGGCGGGUCUCUGGGCAAUUCCUGACGCUGAGGCGCGAAAGCGUGGGGAGCAAACGGG